AUUCCGGUUGAUCCUGCCGGAGGACAUUGCUAUUGGGAUUCGAUUUAGCCAUGCUAGUCGAGCGAGUUCAGACUCGUGGCGAAUAGCUCAGUAACACGUGGCCAAGCCCCCCUUCAGUCAGCGAUACCCUCGGGAAACUGAGGUUAACAGCUGAUACAAAACGCCAGCUGGAAUGCGGCGUUUCAGAAAGACAUCGCUGAAGGAUGCGGCUGCGGCCGAUUAGGUAGACGGUGGGGUAACGGCCCACCGUGCCAGUAAUCGGUACGGGUGAUGAGAGUCAGAGCCCGGAGACGGAAUCUGAGACAAGAUACCGGGCCCUACGGGGCGCAGCAGGCGCGAAACCUUUACACUGCACGACAGUGCGAUAGGGGGAUUCCGAGUGUGAGGGCAUAUUAGCCCUCGCUUUUCUCGACUGUAAGGUGGUCGACGAAUAAGAGCUGGGCAAGACCGGUGCCAGCCGCCGCGGUAAUACCGGCAGCUCAAGUGAUGUCCCAUAUUAUUGGGCCUAAAGCGUCCGUAGCU
rnacentral:rRNA from 1 species